ACAAGCGGUGGAUGAUGUGGUUUAAUUCGAUGCAACGCGAAAACCUUACCACCUUUGACAUGUACGGAAGCCUUUAGAGAUAGAGGCGUGCUCGAAAGAGAGCCGUAACACAGGUGCUGUAUGGCUGUCGUCAGCUCGUGUCGUGAGAUGUUGGGUUAAGUCCCGCAACGAGCGCAACCCUUGUCAUUAGUUGCUACAUUCAGUUGGGCACUCUAAUGAGACUGCCGGUGACAAGCCGGAGGAAGGUGGGGAUGACGUCAAGUCCUCAUGGCCCUUAUAGGUGGGGCUACACACGUCAUACAAUGGCUGGUACAAAGGGUUGCCAACCCGCGAGGGGGAGCUAAUCCCAUAAAGCCAGUCGUAGUCCGGAUCGUAGUCUGCAACUCGACUACGUGAAGUCGGAAUCGCUAGUAAUCGUGGAUCAGAAUGUCACGGUGAAUACGUUCCCGGGUCUU
rnacentral:rRNA from 1 species